rnacentral:rRNA from 1 species
GAUGAACGCUGGCGGCGUGCCUAAUACAUGCAAGUCGAACGGAAAGGCCCUGCUCUUGCGGGGUGCUCGAGUGGCGAACGGGUGAGAAACACGCGAGUAACCUGUCCCUGACAUUGUGAUAACUCUACGAAACUCGGGCUAAUACCGCAUAGGAUCUCUUGCUGCACGGUGGGGGUUGGAAAGUUUCGGCGGUUCGGGAUGGUCUCGCGGCUUAUCAGCUUGAUGGUGGGGUAGUGGCUUUCCAAGGCUUUGACGGCUAGCCGGCCUGAGAGGGUGACCGGCCACAUAGGGACUGGGAUACGGCCCAGAGUGAUACGGGAGGAAGGGGUGAAAGAUAUUGCGAGAUGGGCGGAGGGCGGGAGCAGGAACGCCGCAUGGGGGAUGACGGCCCUCGGGUUGUAAACCGUGUUCGCGUGUGUCGAAGCGUGAGGAACGGUAAUAAGCAAAGAAGCACCGGUUAAUUACGU